CGGGAUGUGGCUCAGCUUGGUAGAGCACCUGGUUUGGGAUCAGGGGGUCGCAGGUUCGAAUCCUGUCAUCCCGACCA
rnacentral:tRNA from 1 species